AGAGUUUGAUCCUGGCUCAGGAUGAACGCUAGCGGCAGGCUUAACACAUGCAAGUCGCGGGGCAGCGCGGGUAGCAAUACCUGGCGGCGACCGGCGGAAGGGUGCGUAACGCGUGAGCAACAUGCCCGUAUCAGGGGGAUAACCGAUGGAAACGUCGCCUAAUACCCCAUAACAACAGAGGCUGCAUGGUCUUUGUUUGAAAGUCACGGCGGAUACGGAUUGGCUCGCGUGACAUUAGCUGGUUGGCGGGGUAACGGCCCACCAAGGCGACGAUGUCUAGGGGUUCUGAGAGGAAGGUCCCCCACACUGGAACUGAGACACGGUCCAGACUCCUACGGGAGGCAGCAGUGAGGAAUAUUGGGCAAUGGGGGCAACCCUGACCCAGCCAUGCCGCGUGAGGGAAUGAGGCCCUACGGGUCGUGAACCUCUUUUAUCCGGGGACAAUACCCCGCACGAGAUGCGGGGUUGAGGGUACCGGAAGAAUAAGCAUCGGCUAACUCCGUGCC
rnacentral:rRNA from 1 species